rnacentral:rRNA from 1 species
UGGGGAAUAUUGGACAAUGGGCGCAAGCCUGAUCCAGCAAUGCCGCGUGGGUGAAGAAGGCCUUCGGGUUGUAAAGCCCUUUUGUACGGGAAGAAAUCCUGUCGGUUAAUACCCGGCGGGGAUGACGGUACCGUAAGAAUAAGCACCGGCUAACUUCGUGCCAGCAGCCGCGGUAAUACGAAGGGUGCAAGCGUUAAUCGGAAUUACUGGGCGUAAAGCGUGCGUAGGCGGUUCGUUAAGUCUGUCGUGAAAGCCCUGGGCUCAACCUGGGAAUGGCGAUGGAUACUGGCGAGCUAGAGUCAGGUAGAGGGUGGCGGAAUUCCCGGUGUAGCGGUGAAAUGCGUAGAGAUCGGGAGGAACAUCUGUGGCGAAGGCGGCCACCUGGACCAUGACUGACGCUGAGGCACGAAAGUGUGGGGAUCAAACA